AACACCACAGCAGCCAACAUCAAUUACAAGCCUAAAUUUCUCAUUGAAUUCAAUAGCAACAAACAGCCACCAACACCAAGCAUAGCAGGUCAAGCGCAAGAGUAAGAACUACACAAGGAGUUAGAGUACCUUAGCAAAACUUUGCUAUCAGGUUGAGCUGUGAUGGGCGAUGAAGUGUUGUUGCUGAGUGGAGUUUUUGUUGAACUUAAAGUAGGCUCAGAAAGGAUACAUGUCUUCAUACAUGUAUCUCAGUUAUGUAUUCCGCUGUAAACACUGAUUAUUUCAGUUACGCCUUCCGUUGCAAACUCUAAUAAUAUUUUAGCCAAGCCCCUAACGAUGCCUUUUUCCUUUUAAGGAAUAUUUCACGCGUAUCCAAGCUCUUUGAGUAUUCUUUUAUGCACCCCUUU